ACAGACCCAAGAUAACACUCUCGGCGUAAAACACGACUAAGACUAUAGUCCCCACAUUAGAAUUGAAGACCAACUAGGCUGUAAAAAGCCAUAAGCCUCACUAACCACAUCUUCUAUACACCAGACAAUCUCAACUCGUGAAAGCAAGGAUACAAACUAAGAUUAGAUACCUUACUAUGCCUCGCCAUAACAAAACAAUCAAAUCACUAAUUGUUCGCCAAAUAACUACGAGCAAAAGCUUAAAACUUAAAAGACUUGACGGUACUUCACAUCAACCUAGAGGAGCCUGUCUAAUAACCGAUAAUCCACGAUUAACCCAACCUUUUCUAGCCAAACAGUCUAUAUACCGCCGUCGCCAGCUUACCUUAUGAAAGAAACAAAGUAAGCCUAACAGUAAUAUACUACACUAAUACGACAGGUCAAGGUGUAACUAAUGAAAAGGAAUAAGAUGGGCUACAUUUUCCUACAGAAAAAACGAAUAUACUAUGAAAAUAGAAACUGAAGGCGGAUUUAGCAGUAAGAUAAGAACAAAAUACUUAACCGAAAUAAACGCAAUGAAGUGUGUACACACCGCCCGUCAUCCCUGCCAAUAAACCUAAAGAUCCAUAAACUUAAAUCACAUCAAAU
rnacentral:rRNA from 1 species